UGACCCUGGUGACUGAAGCGAAGUUUCCC
rnacentral:piRNA from 1 species